GGUAUUGGGCCUAGCAGGCGUCUGUCAGUUUGGGGUUUGGUUGACUUCCCUGUCAAGUUGCGUUGCACCGAGACGUACGUGGCGUUCCAUUAAGCCUGCUUGGGAAGGUGAUGUCAGUGUGGGUUUUUUAAGUGGUAAAGGUGCUCAGGCACAACAGGGGAUCAAUGUGCUAACCAAUACAGAACAUCCAGGAGCCUGCUUUUAAGGAAACUGAGGACUGCAUCUGCAAGAUUAACAACUUUUCCAUAGUGGAUGAGCUGUAAAUCCAGAUAGUUUCUGGAAG